rnacentral:rRNA from 1 species
CAGUCGCCGCGGUAAUACGUAGGGUGCAAGCGUUAAUCGGAAUUACUGGGCGUAAAGCGUGCGCAGGCGGCUAUGCAAGACAGAUGUGAAAUCCCCGGGCUCAACCUGGGAACUGCAUUUGUGACUGCAUGGCUAGAGUACGGUAGAGGGGGAUGGAAUUCCGCGUGUAGCAGUGAAAUGCGUAGAUAUGCGGAGGAACACCGACGGCGAAGGCAAUCCCCUGGACCUGUACUGACGCUCAUGCACGAAAGCGUGGGGAGCAAACAGGAUUAGAUACCCCUGUAGUCCCUGUCUCUUAUAC